UUUAUGUAUUGUCGUGUUUUCUAUUUACUUACUUACAAUGAUGGAUUUCAAAUCUUUUAUUUUUCUCAUACUACUGUCUGGCGUGGUUCUCAUAUCUGUAGUUGUGGCUGAUGAACCAGAUCCUGAUCCACCAAGUAUGUACCUUGGAAUCAACAUCAUUUUAUUUGUUUAUCAACUUUGUUUAUGAUUUUUGUGAAUUAAAUGUGUGAAUGAUACUGAUAAAAGAUUUUAGAAAAAACAUUCAUAUGAUAAAUUUUUAUAACCACUCUCCAAAUGAAUAUAUUACGUGUAUGAUUAAACUUUGUUGUUACAAUAACUUAAUUAUGUAACUUGUUGAUGAAGGUCCAAAGAAAAACGUCAAUGAAGACCUUAAGGGAUGUUUCAAUCGUGAAAAAGGGGGAAGGAAGAUGAUUUUGGUUCCACUUCAUGAUGAAAACUGCAAGGAAAACAUAGGCGCAGAAUAUGGUGAUAGCAUAUUUGGUGAAAUUGGCGACGGUGGCGUUCAAGGAAGAGAAAAUAUAGGUGGUAUAGGGAAAGGUGGAAGUGUUAAUGAUGGAAUAGAUCAUGGUGGUGGAAAAAGUGGUAGCGGAGGAGAUUAUGGAGAUGGAACUGGAGUAGGAGAUGGAGAAAGUGUUGGAAGCAGAGAUUACAGUAAUGGAAGAAGUGGAGAAAACGUCAAUACAAGUGGAGGAGGUGGUGGAAGCGAAGGAGGAGGCGGAGGAUAUUAGUGCAAUGGUAAAUGAGACUUCUAUGAUUUAUGACAAAUAUAAAAAGAGAAUAUAUGCUCUCUUCAAGUUUCUUUAUCCUUAAAUGUAUGUCAUAAUUAUA